CUGGCGAUGGCUCGGAUGGAAGAGCGGAGGGCUGUAGAAGUUGGCAGCGAUCCUUAAGUCGGUGGUUCAAAUCCGCCUUCCCUGG
rnacentral:tRNA from 1 species